rnacentral:rRNA from 1 species
GACGAACGCUGGCGGCGUGCUUAACACAUGCAAGUCGAACGAACAGGCCCUGCUUGCAGGGUACUCGAGUGGCGAACGGGUGAGUAACACGUGGGUGAUCUGCCCUGCACUUCGGGAUAAGCAUGGGCAACUGGGUCUAAUACCGGAUAGGUGCCAUUUAGUGUGGUGGUUGGAAAGUUUUUUCGGUGUAGGUUUAGCUCGCGGCAUAUCAGCUUGUUGGUGGGGUGAUGGCCUGCCAAGGCGGCGCCGGGUAGCCGGCCUGUGCGGGUGGACGGCCACAUUGGGACUGAGAGACGGCCCAGGCUCCUACGGGAGGGAGCAGUGGGGAAGACUGCACGAGGGGCGCAAGGCUGAUGCAGCGACGCCGCGUGGCGGAUGACGGCCUUCUGGUUGUAAAACCCUUGCGCAAGUGACGAAGCUUUUCGUGACGGUACCUAGAUAAAAAGCACCGGCUAACUACGUG